GUAAUGGAGCUGUUGGUAUGGUCGGGCGUAGGUGUGUGACCCCAAAGGAGCAUAAAUGAGUCUAAUAGGAGAAGACGUCGACUUUCAAUUCAACGGACAGUUUUCUUGUAAGACCCUUUGCAACAAUGUGGCAAUUAAGGAAAUAAGGCCCUGGUACGCAGAUAGAUGAGUGUCAUAUGUGUUCCUGAAAAAACCUCCUGUCCAACCAGUUAUGCAUUUGAAAGAACCAGGGCUUGUGGGGAAACCCUGUGCAAUUUGAUAAUCUUGAAAAUAAGCAGUGAUCAGCACGAAGUAGUCUUAAUGCCCUCCUACCCCAUCAAAGGAAUCUUAGAGAUGUCAGAAAAGGAUUCCUGGGUCUUGGAAAAUGACUGGAAAUAGGAAAAAGAGGUAGUGUAUCUUUCUGUCUUAAAUGUAGAAAGUACUUCUGGCACAAUAAUGAUGAGUUGGAAACGAAGGAUUGUCCAACUAAAAGAAAAUGGAUUUAUAAAGGAAUAAAGUUGCAGGAUGUUUUUCUUAAGAAAACGUCUGUAUGCUUUAUAUGAUCAAGAAAUCAAAGAAUUUAUUUAAUAAGAGAGAGGAGAGAAACAUCGUUGUAUGCAUGGGAGAUACAUCAACUGGUUGCCACUCACACGCCCCCUAGUGGGGUCCCGGCCCACAAUCCAGGCAUACCUCUUGACCUGCAAUUGAACCAGCAAGCCUUCAGUUUGCAGGCCAGCGCUCCACCCACCAAGCCAUACCAGCCAGGGCAAGUUAAUUUUCUUUUAAAGGUCGAUGUAAACUUUGUUUAUGGCCCUGAAUGAAAAGAUUUACUAAAUAAAUGAAUUCAAAAACAAAA